ACCAGGUGGAACGAAGGUAGGAAGGAAGCAGAGCGAAUUUCAGGGAAAGCAUUCAGUCUGCAUCUGGCCGUCGUGUAGGGAGGAAGGUCGCCGCCGCACCUCUCCCAUCGCAUCCACUGUAAGGGACACGUGUUAAGGCGGAACUUUCUUUAGUGUGGAACCUUUAUUGACCUUUUUUGUGUGUGUCAAGGGCGUGAGACUCCUGCUGGCGACGCUGACGAAGGCUGGAGAAUAGCGCGAGGUGUGAAGUUGUUGCGAGGACGGAGGAAGUUAGCGAGGACGAGGACGAGGACGAGGACGAGAAGGGUAGUGGUGAUGAUGAUGAUGAUGAUGAUGAUGGUGGUGGUAGUAAUCGCGUUGGUUAAUUCCUUUUUAUAACCCAUAGAAAAAGAAGGAAAACAAAAAGACAUGCUGAUUGUGAUGACGGCUUGAAAUAAACAACAAAAGGAAACCAAAAAAAGCGUAGAGGAAAGACUUACUAGCGUGUGUUUGUAUGAGCUGAAAAAUCAAUCCAGUCUUUUACGUGUUUGUGUGGAGUCGUUCUCACUCACUUCUCUUGCCCGUGGAGUGACUCUUCCUCUUACCUGAGAAAGUAAGAGGAACGUUAAGAGGGAAGUUGAAAGGAGAAUUCGGGGAAAGACACUCCAGCUUGCCGUACCGCGCUUGUCACGAAGAGAAAAAAAAAAGAAAAGAAAGCAAGAAAAAAGUGUAUUAGUCAAACCUCUAUGCUGCGCUAUUUAGUUUCUCCUUUUGCGUGAUAAAAGAAGAAAAUUGCGUUAGAAAAAAUAGAAAGGAAAAUACACCGGGAGGAAUAGAAAGAGGAAAAACUUGCGUAGGAAAAAAAAGAUUAAUGUUGGAAUAAGGAAAAGAAUAAAGUAAGUAAAAAAAAGGAAGUAUCAAUGAAGGUGGAACAAGAUUAAGACGCGAACGAAUAAGAGAAGCAAAGAAGAAGAAGAAGAAGUGGAAGAAGUGGACACCAAAAUGGCCUUAAGAAACUAAGUAUUCACUCCACUCAUGCCUUUGAAGUGGAAUGAAAAAAACACAUCAUCCCACUCCACCUCCUCCUCCUCCACUUGCUCCUCCUCCUCCUCCUCUGUAUAGCCAUUAGCCUGAGUGUCCGUGUGGCGAGAGGGAGGCGUGAGGGGGGCGGGGAGAGAUAAAGAGACACUGAGAGAGACGGGGAGAGAUAAGAGAGACGCGAGGAGACUGGAAUAUUUACCGAGGAGAUAAGGAGAGGGAGGAGAAGGAGAGGAGAGAGAAAGAGAGAGAGAGAGAGAAAAGUGAAGGAAAGGAAGACGUGAAUUUCGGUGUAAGGAAGAAGUGAAGGAGACGAAGGAAGGAAAUACAGUGGAUGCGAAAAAAAGAAGGAAGUGGAAGGAGGAAACAGGGAAUAGAUGAGGUGGUGGGUUGGUAUCCUUCUUCCUCCUGAACGCUGAUUACCUCCACCUUUUUUCCUCCUCCACCUCCUCCUCCUCCUCCUCCUCUUCCCCCUCCCCCUCCCCAUCCUCCUCCCACCCUUCCCAAAUUUGUUUACUUCCAUAGUUUUUCCUCCUCCUUCUCCUCUUCCUCUUCCUCCUUUCCAAUAUCGAAUUCUUAACAUAUAUUUAUUUUCCUCUUCUUUCUCUUUAUUUCCUGAUCACCUCGUCCUCUUUUUCCUCUCCAGUUCUCUCCAGUCUCAUUCCUGCCUUGUUUUUCUCCUCCCUUGCUCCGAUUCUGCUUUCUCUCCUUUCCUCCUCUCCCUCCCUCUCUCCCCCUAAGCUCUGUGGUGUUUUCCUCCAACUUCUCUUUGCUCUCCUCUCCUCUCUUGAAUUUUUACUCAUAUUUUCCCUUCCUUCUUCAGCUCCCCAAAUCCUCUUGACGUUCCCUCUCCCUCUCUCUCCAUCCCUCCUCUUCUGCUUCCUUUCCUUCCUUUCCUUCUUGUAAUUCGAUAAUCUUGUCUGGCCCUCUGAUCUUUCUCUUCCUAUCUUCCCAUCUCCGUCUUUCUCCCGUUCGAUAUAUUUUACUCCUAUUUUCUCCUCCGUCGGCUUCCUAAAUCCUCACGACCUUUACCCUUCCCCUGUCAGUCCUCUCCGUCACUCCCUCCUUCACCCGCAUCCUUUUCUCACUCACCCACCUCAGCCUCACUUUCAUCCACCUAUCUAUCCACUUAGUCAGAUUUUAUACUAUAUCUUCACUUACCCACCUACCCCUGCUCACCCAUCUCUUCAUCCAUCCCUUUAUCCACCUAUCUCACUCUCCAUUUUUACCUAUUUAUCCACUUAUCCACUACUGACCUCAUAACCCCUAAACUUAUUUUUCCACUCAUUUACCCAUCUCUUUGUUUACCCACCCACCUGAUCUUCCACCUGUCGCCCCACCUAACCACUGACUCUUUACUCUUCCACCCACCACCCACGCCCACCCACUUGAACAUUCCACCACCUUCCACCACGCACCUCCACCUACUUAUGGUACAUUCCACUGCCCCAUCCACUUCUCC